GGGAAGGUGGCUCAGUGGUAGAGUGCUUGCCUUGCAUGCAUGAGGUCCCGGUUCGAUUCCUCAGUACCA
rnacentral:tRNA from 1 species